rnacentral:rRNA from 1 species
GAUGAACGCUGGCGGCGUGCCUAAUACAUGCAAGUCGAGCGAACGGACGAGAAGCUUGCUUCUCUGAUGUUAGCGGCGGACGGGUGAGUAACACGUGGAUAACCUACCUAUAAGACUGGGAUAACUUCGGGAAACCGGAGCUAAUACCGGAUGAUAUUUUGAACCGCAUGGUUCAAAAGUGAAAGACGGUCUUGCUGUCACUUAUAGAUGGAUCCGCGCUGCAUUAGCUAGUUGGUAAGGUAACGGCUUACCAAGGCAACGAUGCAUAGACGACCUGAGAGGCUGAUCGGCCACACUGGAACUGAGACACGGUCCAGACUCCUACGGGAGGCAGCAGUAGGGAAUCUUCCGCAAUGGGCGAAAGCCUGACGGAGCAACGCCGCGUGAGUGAUGAAGGUCUUCGGAUCGUAAAACUCUGUUAUUAGGGAAGAACAUAUGUGUAAGUAACUGUGCACAUCUUGACGGUACCUAAUCAGAAAGCCACGGCUAACUACGUG